GAAUAGAAAGCGAAGUUCGCUAUCGGUUUCGACCCGGUUCCUGGUCAAUUGACCUCUGUUCU
rnacentral:tRNA from 1 species